UACAGAGGUCCCAAGCGUUGUUCGGAAUCACUGGGCGUAAAGGGCGCGUAGGCGGCCUGAUAAGUAGGGGGUGAAAUCCUGUGGCUCAACUGCAGGGCUGCCUCCUAGACUGUCGGGCUUGAGCACGGUAGAGGCAGAUGGAAUUCCCGGUGUAGCGGUGGAAUGCGUAGAGAUUGGGAAGAACAUCGGUGGCGAAGGCGGUCUGCUGGGCCGUUGCUGACGCUGAGGCGCGACAGCGUGGGGGAGCAAACAGG
rnacentral:rRNA from 1 species